ensembl:lncRNA
AGGCAGUCGAGGUCCCUCAUUUUUAAAGAGGAAAGCAGUCAGUGUACAGAAACGGAACGGGUUGAAAACAGGCUAAUGGAGUGUGCCCCCCUCCCAAAACGGGCUCCUUCGCUACCCCGGCCAGUCUUAGGUCCCUCUUUCUUAUGCGGCAAGCCAUCCCCCUUCCUCCCUUCCCUCCCCCCAGUCUCGGAGAUCAGAGAAGCACCGACUGGGAGGGUGGACCCAUGGGGCCUGCAGUCACUCUGGCCGACCCUUCGACCCUCAAGAACCUCCAUCAGCGCCAGGGAGCCUGGGCCCGGAACUGCCUCUCUGCCCCAGCAGCACCCUCUUGGUGCCCUUCCCUCCCCUUCCUGUGCCCCAAUUUCCAGAGGGUCUGAACACACUGACCCCCAAAGAGAAGCCCUGCAGAGCAGAGACCUCACCCUGAGAAGCCUGCACCCCCUGGACAUCUUGACUCCAUCCUUCAGCAUCCUUUCCCUCACUGUAUCCUGACUGCUUGGACCAUCCUCCUCUCCAGCCUCCACUGAACAACAGAUUGGGAAGGGGAAUUUCACAAGGUUUGAGCGGCAGAGAUGUCCUAGGGUAGGUGGAAGGCCUGGCAGCCCCGGGAUGAACUUGCCCCUAGCCCAGCCCUCUG